UACGGAGGGUGCGAGCGUUGUCCGGAAUCACUGGGCGUAAAGGGCGCGUAGGCGGCGCGGAUAGUCGGCGGUGAAAGCCCGGAGCUCAACUCCGGGUCGGCCGUCGAUACUUCCGGGCUUGAGCACUGUAGAGGCAGAUGGAAUUCCGGGUGUAGCGGUGGAAUGCGUAGAGAUCCGGAAGAACACCGGUGGCGAAGGCGGCCUGCUGGGCAGUAGCUGACGCUGAGGCGCGACAGCGUGGGGAGCAAACAGG
rnacentral:rRNA from 1 species